UUACUCUAAAUUUAUAUUUUGGCUUUCAAGUUUUCGGAAUUGGUCUCUCCGAUUAUGGAGCUCUGGUUUUGAAGAUUUAGGAUCUUCUAUCAAAUGUAAUCCAACAAUAUACUUCCUUCUAUCAAAUGAAAUGUAGUGUUAAAAGAAAAAGAAAAAGAUUAGUCAUUUUACAGUUGUCACAAUCACAUAAAAUGAAAACAAAUACUUGGACAUUUGUCUUUAAAUCAAGUUGAACAGAAAAGGAGAAAAAUAUAUUGACAUAUUUGGAGAAAACAAUAAUAAUAUAUCCAUCUCGUCUAUAAAAGACAAGCUUGGUCUCACAUCACAUCACAAUGCAUUCAGCAGCAUCUUUGUAAAGUAGAAUAGAAUAUGAUAAUAUUAUUGUGUUGUGAUGAUAAGAGAAUACAAGAUGUAUAUAUAUAGUAGUAACAUUAACAUAAUGUUAAUACUAGAUAAUGAUAACUUUCCUAAACGUUAAUGUAAAUAUGCUAAGAGUAUCUUGAGAUUAACUUGAUCUUCAAGUCUUUCCUUUUAGUCUUGAGGGUCUUCAUGGGUUUCACGGGUUUUACAGACUAGGUCCGUAAGAUAUAUAUCUUCCGGCCCAACAUAUCUCUAAUACUCCCCCGCACGACAAACGUGGGAUGCAACACGCAAAUCUGCAAUCAUAAAGCAGACCACGUAUGUCGUGGACACUAUGUCGAGGAAAACAAAUCAGUAGAUUCCUUCGGGAAUAAACUUCAACUUAGAAAAGGAGGAUGAAAUUUCAGCUUUUCUUUGGUCUUGACAAUGGGAAUACAUCCCGUGGGCGCAACUGCAGCUCCAAAAAAACAAUCGUCCAUGACUUGGACAGUCCAUACACGGACUAAAAAAAAAUUGACCUAAAAAUUUGAGGAUAACUAAAACUCUCCCGUAAUGGUUAAACUAUAACCAACAAUAUUCCAAACUUUGGAAUAACAAUCUUCUUAAGAAAUUCUAAACUAUAGAAAAUUUUACAUAAAAAAAAAAACAACCCAUGUGAAAGCCACAAACCCUUGACACUACUAAAACUCUCAAUCAUUCUUUUCCACUCACCGAUCAAAACAAUAAUAUUAAAGGAAAGAAUUUUAAACAAAAUCCCUUGACUCGUUACUAGGUAACGUACUAAAAGAAAACCCUAAUACUUUUAUUAAGAGGUAACUAAAUAACAUAAGAGAACUUGACAUUUAUUUUGACGUCUUCAUCUGGAUCAUCGUCACUGGUAUCUUCUUGAUCAUCGUCAACACCACCGAUGAUCAUAAUCAUCAAAUCUUAAAACUUGCGGAAGCUUUAAUUUUGAUCCCUAAAAAUCGAAUGCUCUGAUACCAUGUAAAGUAGAAUAGAAUAUGAUAAUAUUAUUGUGUUGUGAUGAUAAGAGAAUACAAGAUGUAUAUAUAUAGUAGUAACAUUAACAUAAUGUUAAUACUAGAUAAUGAUAACUUUCCUAAACGUUAAUGUAAAUAUGCUAAGAGUAUCUUGAGAUUAACUUGAUCUUCAAGUCUUUCCUUUUAGUCUUGAGGGUCUUCAUGGGUUUCACGGGUUUUACAGACUAGGUCCGUAAGAUAUAUAUCUUCCGGCCCAACAUAUCUCUAAUAACAUAAUGUUAUUAGAGAUAAUGUUAAUACUCGAUGAUGAUAAGAGAAUACAAGAUGUAUAUAUAUAGUAGUAACAUUAACAUAAUGUUAAUACUAGAUAAUGAUAACUUUCCUAAACGUUAAUGUAAAUAUGCUAAGAGUAUCUUGAGAUUAACUUGAUCUUCAAGUCUUUCCUUUUAGUCUUGAGGGUCUUCAUGGGUUUCACGGGUUUUACAGACUAGGUCCGUAAGAUAUAUAUCUUCCGGCCCAACAUAUCUCUAAUAAUCUUUCCUUCACAAGCUUUCCAUCAGAAAAAAAAGAUUAGGCAAAAAUGUUCAUCGAAAGCUUCAAAGGUUGAAUCUCCAAACGUGAAGUACACAGAGAAUGAGAUUCAUUCACUGUAUGACUACCAAACCACUGAGCUCGUUCACGAGAGCAAGAAUGGUGCGUAUCAAUGGACCGUGAAGCCAAAAACCGUAAAAUACGAGUUUAAGACCGACACUCAUGUGCCCAAACUUGGAGUGAUGCUCGUUGGUUGGGGAGGAAACAAUGGUUCUACUCUUACCGCUGGUGUUAUCGCCAAUCGUGAGGCCUGACUGGUGUAACCGCAGCGGUUGCGGUUGCGGUUACGGGAGUUUGCGGGUGCGGGUAGUUGCGGUUUUAAACGUUUUCUAGAGAUUUGUACGACUGGUACAGCUGUUAGAAAUUGUUGCGUUUGCGGGACUCUUA